rnacentral:rRNA from 1 species
CCUACGGGAGGCUGCAGUGAGGAAUAUUGGUCAAUGGACGAGAGUCUGAACCAGCCAAGUCGCGUGAAGGAUGACUGCCCUAUGGGUUGUAAACUUCUUUUAUAUGGGAAUAAAAUGUUCCACGUGUGGGAUUUUGUAUGUACCAUAUGAAUAAGGAUCGGCUAACUCCGUGCCAGCAGCCGCGGUAAUACGGAGGAUCCGAUCGUUAUCCGGAUUUAUUGGGUUUAAUGGGAGCGUAGGUGGAUUGUUAAGUCAGUUGUGAAAGUUUGGGGCUCAACGGUAAAAUUGCAGUUGAAACUGGCAGGCUAGAGUACAGUAGAGGUGGGCGGAAUUCGUGGUGUAGCGGUGAAAUGCGUAGAUAGCACGAAGAACUCCGAUUGCGAAGGCAGCUCACUGGACUGCAACUGACGCUGAGGCACGAAAGUGUGGGGAUCAAACAGGAUUAGAUACCCGGGUAGUC